rnacentral:lncRNA from 1 species
AGCUGAUGGAAAAAGUCUUGAAGACACCAACUUGAUGAGUUGAGGAGUAUGUUUGUCAUCCUGUUCAAAUUUUCUUAAGAGUAAAUGUGUAAAAUCUUUCUAUGUUAUGUUAUGUUGAUAAUUGUUGUGAAGUUCAUAUUAUUGUUGUUAAUAAUCAUUAAAAACAGCGUACUGUUAAUAAUUGUUAAGAAAUGAACGCUUGUACACAAGAAAAAUCACUUAGGUCCCAAAUAUACACAGAAAAUAACAUAAAAUGAAAUUCACGUAAAGCAAAAAGUUAAAAGAGAUAAAAGGGUGUGUUAAAACAUCAAGCUUGUUGGCCCCAGGUUGCCCAGUUAGCCUCACUCCGUGAAGUUCAUAUUAUUGUUGUUAAUAAUCAUUAAAAACAGCGUACUGUUAAUAAUUGUUAAGAAAUGAACGCUUGUACACAAGAAAAAUCACUUAGGUCCCAAAUAUACACAGAAAAUAACAUAAAAUGAAAUUCACGUAAAGCAAAAAGUUAAAAGAGAUAAAAGGGUGUGUUAAAACAUCAAGCUUGUUGGCCCCAGGUUGCCCAGUUAGCCUCACUCCCAACCCUUGGCAUGCUAUUAACUUUAGAAUAGGCAUCAACCAUGAAAUUGGCUCCGCACAUGGCUCCUUCACUGUCAAUUCUGGGCAUGGCUUUCAGUUUGUUCAUUGGAUGCUCAAAGCUCAUCAA